AGAGUUUGAUCAUGGCUCAGAUUGAACGCUGGCGGCAGGCCUAACACAUGCAAGUCGAGCGGUAGCACAGAGAGCUUGCUCUCGGGUGACGAGCGGCGGACGGGUGAGUAAUGUCUGGGAAACUGCCUGAUGGAGGGGGAUAACUACUGGAAACGGUAGCUAAUACCGCAUAACGUCGCAAGACCAAAGUGGGGGACCUUCGGGCCUCAUGCCAUCAGAUGUGCCCAGAUGGGAUUAGCUAGUAGGUGGGGUAACGGCUCACCUAGGCGACGAUCCCUAGCUGGUCUGAGAGGAUGACCAGCCACACUGGAACUGAGACACGGUCCAGACUCCUACGGGAGGCAGCAGUGGGGAAUAUUGCACAAUGGGCGCAAGCCUGAUGCAGCCAUGCCGCGUGUGUGAAGAAGGCCUUCGGGUUGUAAAGCACUUUCAGCGGGGAGGAAGGCGUUAAGGUUAAUAACCUUGGCGAUUGACGUUACCCGCAGAAGAAGCACCGGCUAACUCCGUGCCAGCAGCCGCGGUAAUACGGAGGGUGCAAGCGUUAAUCGGAAUUACUGGGCGUAAAGCGCACGCAGGCGGUCUGUCAAGUCGGAUGUGAAAUCCCCGGGCUCAACCUGGGAACUGCAUUCGAAACUGGCAGGCUAGAGUCUUGUAGAGGGGGGUAGAAUUCCAGGUGUAGCGGUGAAAUGCGUAGAGAUCUGGAGGAAUACCGGUGGCGAAGGCGGCCCCCUGGACAAAGACUGACGCUCAGGUGCGAAAGCGUGGGGAGCAAACAGGAUUAGAUACCCUGGUAGUCCACGCCGUAAACGAUGUCGAUUUGGAGGUUGUGCCCUUGAGGCGUGGCUUCCGGAGCUAACGCGUUAAAUCGACCGCCUGGGGAGUACGGCCGCAAGGUUAAAACUCAAAUGAAGUGACGGGGGCCCGCACAAGCGGUGGAGCAUGUGGUUUAAUU
rnacentral:rRNA from 1 species